UAUCGGAGGAUUGUGAAACUUCAGUUCUUUUGAUAGAAGCUGGAUCAUCUGAUUUGGAACCUGAUGACGUAACUCAAAUACCAUUUUUGUGGUAUUCCCUUAUAGGUUCAGAGAAAGAUUGGGGAUAUCGUUCAGUACCACAAAAAUAUUCACAUUUUGCUUACAAGAAUGAGAUAAGUUACAUACCUCAAGGCAAAGUACUUGGAGGAUCCUCGUCAAUAAAUGGACAAAACAUUGUGAGAGGCAGUCGUAACAACUAUGAUCAAUGGAAACAAGAAGGAGCAGUCGGAUGGGGAUAUGAUGAUGUGCUGCCCUACUUCAAAAAGCUUGAAAAUGCUACACAAACAUCAUACAGAGACUCAACUUUACGAGGACUUCAUGGACCUAUAGUAAUAAAAGAGACUACUGGGAGUAUUUUACAGUCAUUUCACCAUACAGCGGCAAUGGACAUUGGUUUUUCUACAGUAGAU